rnacentral:rRNA from 1 species
AUGUAUCACGCGCGAAAAAUAUAUCUUCUAGAUGAGUAUGUAUACCAUGUAUUUCAUAUGCGUACAUAUGCAUUUGUUAAGUCUUACAAUCGGUUUCUUUGGAAACUCUUCAACAUAAAUGAACCAGAAAUCCAGGUUGUCUGCCUCGCAUUUUAUGGUGUAAAAAUGGUAGACCAAACGGAAAAACCAGUCAUCUCUUUUGUGUUGUCUAUAGAACAUUUCAAUGGAUCUUCUGUAUAUCACCAAAACAAAAUAAAUGUCCUCCUUUUAAGUGUUCAUUCCAUAUACAGGAGCCAAAACGCGUCUUUCUACAGAAACAUAGAUACAUGGUCCCUUCUAAAUAUUCCUUGGAAUAUUUUAGUUUGA